UGUCGUUGGCUAAGUCCGUUCGG
rnacentral:snRNA from 1 species